rnacentral:rRNA from 1 species
UCGGGAAUUUUGGGCAAUGGGCGAAAGCCUGACCCAGCAACGCCGCGUGAGGGAUGAAGUAUUUCGGUAUGUAAACCUCGAAAGAAUGGGAAGAAUAAAUGACGGUACCAUUUAUAAGCUCCGGCUAACUACGUGCCAGCAGCCGCGGCAAUACGUAGGGAGCAAGCGUUGUUCGGAUUUACUGGGCGUAAAGGGCGCGUAGGCGGCGCGGUAAGUCACUUGUGAAAUCUCUGAGCUUAACUCAGAACGGCCAAGUGAUACUGCUGUGCUAGAGUGCGGAAGAGGCAACCGGAAUUCUUGGUGUAGCGGUGAGAUGCGUAGAUAUCAAGAGGAACACCUGAGGCGAAGGCGGGUUGCUGGGCCGACACUGACGCUGACGCGCGAAAGCCAGGGGAGCAAACG